AACUAGACCCAUCCCGAUCGCCAACUACUCCUACUGCUAUAACCAUCGCUCCGCCCGCCCAACCUCCGCCCGAAUCCAAUCGCCGCGCCGCUCCACUUCGUUCGUCCUCCUCCUCACUUCAUUGCCACCGCCGGGGCGUCGCCACUCGGCUCGACUCGAGGGUUUUGCGGAGUCGAGUUCGGGCGGCAUUGGUUUAUUCAGUCCUGGUGGAGGCGUUGUUGGAGGUACCAACACCAUCAUGAAACCAAUCAUAUUCAGAUGACAGGAGUGUUGGAUCUCGUAUACAUGUUUUAGAAAGAGAUGAAAGUUGGUGGUCUCCUGACCUCUGCUGGAAUCAACAUUGGCCUCUGUGUACUUUUUCUGUCACUGUACUCCAUUCUAAGGAAGCAGCCACAAAAUGUUAAGGUCUAUUUUGGGCGAAGGAUUGCUGAGGAGCACAACCGGCUCCGUGAUGCUUUUAUCUUGGAGAGAUUUGUUCCAUCCCCUAGUUGGAUUGUCAAAAGUCUGCGGUGCACAGAGGAUGAAAUCUUAGAUACUGCUGGGCUGGAUGCUGUAGUUUUCAAUAGAAUUAUGGUAUUCAGCAUACGCAUCUUCUCCUUAGCCGCCAUUCUUUGUGUAUUUGGAGUCCUUCCAUUGAAUUAUUUUGGACAAGAUAUGCAUCAUGUUCGUAUUCCCUCAGCAUCAUUAGAGACAUUUACAAUAGGAAAUGUGCAAGAAAGAUCGAGAUGGCUCUGGGUCCAUUGCGUUGUAUUGUACAUCAUAUCUGCUGUAGCUUGCGUGCUUCUGUACUUCGAGUACAAGCACAUUGCCAGGCUGAGGUUAUGUCACAUUUCUCGAGCAACAAGCAAUCCUAGACAUUUUACUGUCCUUGUCCAAGGAAUACCUAAAAGUACAGAAUCAUUCAGCAGGACUGUUGAGAAUUUCUUUACCAAGUACCAUGCAUCAAGUUACCUAUCUCAUCAAGUCGUUUACAAAGUUGGGAAAGUUCAGAAGAUAGUGAGUGGUGCAAAGAAGGUUUACAGGAAGUUCAGACAUUCCAAGGGCACCACAGUUGAUAAGAGAUGCAGAUCCAUUACAUUUCAAUGUUGUUUUUGUGGAGCGUCUUCUAAUUCAUUCCAGUUGUUGCCCAGUGACUUCGAGCAAGAGAGCGAAAAGCCUGAACUGAAUGAUUCAAGCUUGAGCUUACCUGAUGAGGAAUGUGGUGCUGCUUUUAUAUUUUUCAAAACUCGGUAUGCAGCACUAGUUGUAGCGAAAAUUCUUCAGACAUCCAACCCUAUGAGAUGGGUCACUAGUCUGGCUCCAGAACGUGAUGACAUUUAUUGGUCUAAUCUCUGGUUACCCUACAAGCAACUCUGGAUUCGGCACAUAGCUACACUUCUGGGUUCUAUUGUUUUCAUGUUUUUAUUUCUCAUGCCGGUGACGUUUAUACAAGGUUUGACUCAGCUAGAGCAGCUGCAGCAAAGGUUCCCUUUCCUGAGAGGUAUAUUAGAAAAGAAAUACAUGACCCAGUUGAUAACUGGAUACCUUCCCAGUGUGAUCUUGCAAAUAUUUUUGUAUACUGUUCCCCCAACCAUGAUGCUAUUUUCUACUUUAGAGGGUCCUAUCUCUCACAGUGAAAGGAAGAAAAGUGCCUGCUGUAAAGUAUUGUACUUCACCAUUUGGAAUGUCUUCUUUGUCAAUGUCUUGUCAGGUUCUGCAAUUAGCCAAGUGAUUGCUUUAUCAAGCCCAAAGGAUAUUCCUAUGCAGCUGGCCAGAGCAGUACCUGUGCAGGCUACAUUCUUUACAACCUAUGUUCUUACUUCAGGAUGGGCUAGUCUAUCAUCAGAACUUAUGCAACUCUUUGGUCUUACAUGGAACUUCAUAAGAAGAUAUAUUCUGCGAAUGAAAGAAGACGACCUUCUUUACUCAUUUCCCUAUCACACUGAAGUGCCUAAAGUUCUGUUGUUUGGACUGUUGGGCUUCACAUGCUCUGUACUAGCACCUCUUAUCUUGCCCUUUUUAUUGAUAUACUUUUGUCUCGGCUAUGUUGUGUAUCGCAACCAGUUCCUCAAUGUUUACUGCACAAAAUACGACACAGGCGGUCUAUAUUGGCCAAUUGCCCACAAUACUACAAUAUUCUCUCUAGUCCUCUCUCAGAUCAUCUGUCUUGGUGUAUUUGGCUUAAAAGAAUCCCCAGUAGCUUCAGGCUUCACUGUGCCUCUUAUCAUCUUUACUCUUUUGUUCAACCAGUAUUGCAGAAAGCGUCAUCUUCCAUUAUUCAAGACUUUCCCUGCACAGAGUUUGAUUGACAUGGACAAGGAAGAUCAGCAAAUGGGUAGAACUGAGGACCUUCAUGAUCGCCUUCAUUCUGCUUACUUUCAGUUUCCUGACACCGACGACAUACCUUUGGAAGGAGCACACAAUGUUGGUAGAGAUGAAAAUGGAAAUGGCACUUCCGGUGAAUCGAGUCGCAAAGAAAGCGCCGAUGAUGACCCCAAAGAUGACCUGUCUCACCCGACACUGGCCGGACUCCCUGUUAGCCAGCUGCGGAAUGCGGUGAUAUCCAUCGGUUCGAUUUUGAGACCGCAGAGGAGAGAAUUACCUGUAUAGCACAUUGUUUCGUCCGCCCAUGUAAAUUCACGGCUGGCAAACCACACAAGUUAUACUCAUAGCACGUACAGGAAGGGGAAGAUACAUCAUAUACCGAAAUGGAAGAGAAGUAUAUAUCGCCCGUUUGCAAGGGUUGAAAUUUUGAUGUGCCAAUUGACUUUUCUGGUAGCAAAAUCAGUCUGGCCAUGAACAGUUUCCCCGGCAGGGAACGCGGCGGGACGCCGAUGGCCAAAGGCGCCGCAGCGCAAAGACGACAGGAAUUGGGCGAGCUCGGCGAGGCGAGUCGAUUUCACGGGAAACCGACGGCACGGCAUCGGAGGCAAAGAGAGAAGUAAUCACCCAUUUAUUCCAAAGCGAAAUUACACGACAAGACAGCAAUGGCUGGACCCAA